UACGGAGGGCGCAAGCGUUGUUCGGAAUCACUGGGCGUAAAGCGCGUGUAGGCGGCUUUGCAAGUCGGGUGUGAAAUCCCGAGGCUCAACCUCGGAACUGCACUCGAUACUGCUUGGCUCGAGUCCCGGAGAGGGUGGCGGAAUUCCCGGUGUAGGGGUGAAAUCCGUAGAUAUCGGGAGGAACACCAGUGGCGAAGGUGGCCACCUGGACGGUGACUGACGUUGAGACGCGAAAGCGUGGGGAGCAAACAGG
rnacentral:rRNA from 1 species